GUGAAUCAUCGAAUCUUUGAACGCAAAUUGCACUCUCUGGUAUUCCGGAGAGUAUGCCUGUUUGAGGGUCAGUUUAAAUAAAAAGCGUUGUGGGGGCUAGGUUUCGUUGUGAUGCACCGGAUUUGUGUCGUCGUGCCUACGGUUAAGUGACCUAAAAUUUUGCAUUAGGUGUGUCGCACGUAUUUAAAUGAUUUUACGGACGUUUGCGAUAUCUGAUGCGUGUUUUGGUC
rnacentral:misc_RNA from 1 species